CAAUAGCGUAUAUUAAAGUUGUUGCAGUUAAAAAGCUCGUAGUUGGAUUUCUGGUGGGAGCGAUCGGUCUGGCGCUUAGCGCGAGUACUUGCAUCGUCUCCGGCCAUCCUUGGGGAGAGUCUGUCUGGCAUUAAGUUGUCGGGCAGAGGAUCCUCAUCGUUUACUGUGAGAAAAUUAGAGUGUUCAAAGCAGGCUUAUGCCGUUGAAUAUAUUAGCAUGGAAUAAUAAGAUAGGACUUUGGUACUAUUUUGUUGGUUUGCGCACCAAAGUAAUGAUUAAUAGGGACAGUUGGGGGUAUUCGUAUUCCGUUGUCAGAGGUGAAAUUCUUGGAUUUACGGAAGACGAACUACUGCGAAAGCAUUUACCAAGGAUGUUUUCAUUAA
rnacentral:rRNA from 1 species